UCUCCGUUGGUGAACCGGCGGAGGGAUCAUUAUCGAGAUUACAGCUCUCAGACACCUGUGCACAAACCAUUUGUCGUCUCAGCUGUGCCUUCUUCGGCAGCCCGCCAGAGAACCCAAACCCUUCAUUUUAUACAGUUUCUUCUGGAUAAAUAAUUAAAUAAAUCAAAACUCUCAACAACGGAUCUCUUGGUUCUG
rnacentral:misc_RNA from 1 species